rnacentral:rRNA from 1 species
AUCACUAAGCGGUGGAAAAGAAAACAAAAGUGAUACCCCUAGUAACGGCGAGCGAACAGGGUUAAGCCCAACGCAAAGGCGCAUCGUGCUUCGGCGCGGUGAGCGAUGCUGCGUCUGGGUUCGAUGCUUGAGCUCAGACUCGUGUGCUGGCAUGUGUACAAACGAAUUACCUAGUAGUUGGCCGUAGCGGGUUGAAGCCCCGUGUGUACACUGUAUUCAAGACCACACGCGACAGUGCGAAGGCUCGAACCUGAGAGUAGGAUUGUUCGAGAGUGCAAUCUGAAGUAGGAGGUAUGCAUCUCCUAAGGCUAAAUAUGACUGUGAGACCGAUAGCGAACAAGUAGCGUAAGCGAAAGUUGAAAAGAACUUUGAAGAGAGAGUUCAAAGAGCGUGAAACCACUAGUAGGGAAGCGGGUGUUACCUCGAGUAGGCGAUGCGAGUCUGUGGUGAUCCGUGAUUGGCGUUACGUGCGCGUUGAGUUUAGCGUUGGCCUCGGCCUGGCGAAACCUCGGCGUGUGCGGCGACUGCCGGUGCGAUCGCUGUAAAGCAGACUCGUUGCCAGUAUCCUGCACUCUUUCCAGGCUUGGUAGUGGACGCGAACGCUUGCGCAGCACCUUCGGGGAGGCUGUGCAAGUUUGCGUUUCGACUGUCUUGUAACCGGUUCGCAAUGUGCUUUCCACCUCGCGCUGGAAGUUGAUUGUCGAAUCGGCUCAAGUUCCUACCGUUAGCGAAGCGAAGAGUUACACUUGCAGGAUAUGAGUAGAUCGGUAAGCACCUGCCCCGUCUUGAAACACGGACCAAGGAGCCUAGCGUGUACGCAAGUCAUUCAGUGAUACACAAAACUAGACUGGCGCAACGAAAGCAAUCGAGUGUCGGUUCGCACAACGAGCCGGCACUGCUACGAGGUGCAGACUGCGCGCGUCUUUCGCGAGACGUGCUCUGCUGUUUCGCAGUAGCAAUGCGGUGCGUACGCGCCGUAUUCGAGCGUACACGAUAGUACCCGAAAGAUGGUGAAUUAUGCUUGAGCAGGGUGAAGCCAAAGGAAACUUUGGUGGAAGCCUGUAGCAGUUUUGACGUGCAAAUCGAUUGUCAGACUCGAGUAUAGCGGCGAAAGACUAAUCGAACCAUCUAGUAGCUGGUUUCCUUCGAAAUUUCCCGCAGGAUAGCAAGCGCGCUACAGAUCAUUUAAACCUGUUACAGUCUCAACAGAAGGUAACGGGGCGUUAAUUGACCUUGUCCUUUUCCUAAACUUGGUCAAUGGGUUGCCUAUGUGCACAUACACUACACGCUUGUCGCAUGUAGACGUGAACCUAGCUGGCGAAUGAUUUGCGCUUAGUGGGCCAUUUUUGGUAAGCAGAACUGGCGAUGUGGGAUGAACCGUACACAGAGUUAAAGUGCCUAAUGUUUAUACGCUAAGAAGAUCCCAUUAAAGAUGUUGUUCGCUUAAGACAGUAGGGCGGUGGCCAUGGAAGUCGGCAUCCGCUAAGGAGUGUGUAACAACUCACCUACCGAAGCGUUCAACUCUGAAAAUGGAUGGCGCUAAAGCGUUAUACUGAAACUCUGUCGUAGGUAGUAAAUCCUGUUCAAGGGUGUCCGCGCGUUGGUCGGGCGGUUUGACCGUUCGGCCUUCCGCGAGCACAUCAGACUCCUACGAGUAGGAGGAAUGCGGUGAUGGCGUAGAAGCUUUGGACGUAAGUCCGGGUGGAGCCGUUGCUGAURCAGAUCUUGGUGGUAGUAGCAAACAAACAAGUGACAACCUUGUUGACCGACGUGGAUACGGGUUCCAUGUGAACAGUAUUUGGUCAUGGGUUAGUCGAUCCUGAGGGGCGCGGCGAAAGCCGUAUCGUAAGAAGCGUUCCUAGUCGAACGCGCCUCGAAAGGGAAUGAGGUUAAUAUUCCUCAACCUUGCAUGUGGGGACUCUUUUACGAGAGCGUAGCGGCAACGCGAUCGAACUCAGAGACGUCAGCCGAAGUCCUGGGCAGAGAUUUCUUCUCUGCCGUAAGGUGUGCCGAGUGCCUUGAAACAGUUUAGCUGGAGACAGGCAUGCACGCACCGAAUUGCGUCGCGCUUCAUGUGACGUGUCAGUGUACUUUGGUUGGCCCUUGAAAAUCUGAGCGAGUGACCUGUCUAGACCACUGCAAGAUCGUACCUAGAUCCGCAACCGGUAUCCUAGGUGAACAGCCUCUGGUCUAUUAGAAUAAUGUAAGUAAGGGAAGUCGGCAAAACUGAUCUGUAUCUUUGGUACAAAGAUUGGCUCUGGCGUGUUUGCUAGCUGCGUCGUGCGUAGUAAGCGUGAGCCGUGCCGGCCGAGUACUGGAGGGCAGUUGGCGUUCGCGCGUCGACAUACCCAUCGGGAUUUGGCCGCCGCUUGCGUUGAACGGUGCGAGUACGGCUAGCAAAUAAAACAAAUAGUCAGAACUAUCAUUGACUUUUCGGAAUCUGACUGUUUAAUUAAAACAUAGCAUCGAGAUGACUGGUGACCCAGUGUUGACUCGAUGUGAAUUCUGCCCAGUGCUCUGAAUGUCAACGUGUAGAGAUUCAAUGAAGCGCGGGUAAACGGCGGGAGUAACUAUGACUCUCUUAAGGUAGCCAAAUGCCUCGUCAUCUAAUUAGUGACGUGCAUGAAUGGAUUAACGAGAUUCCAUCUGUCCCUACUUACUAUCUAGCGAAACCACAGCCAAGGGAACGGGCUUGGCGAGAUCAGCGGGGAAAGAAGACCCUGUUGAGCUUGACUCUAGUCUGGCAUUGUGAGGAAACUGUAUUUGGUAUAGCAUAGGUGGGAGGUAGUCUUCGGGCUAUCGGUAUAAACUGUAAAACCACCACAAUACAGCACCACUCACUGACUUAGUUAGGAGGCUUACCUUGUGGCGCGCGCUUGCGUGUUGCUGCAAGGGAAUCUUCGUGAAUAGCGCACUAAGUCGAGAUGAGCAAGUGCGGACUYGUCGUGUCGGCGUGCAUUYGUGUGCGUGUCUGUGCGGCGGUCGGCUUGCAACAAGCAUCACGUCGAGGCAUUAUCUAAGGACAGUGCCAGGCGGGGAGUUUGACUGGGGCGGUACAUCUAUCAAAUGCUAACGUAGGUGUCCUAAUGUUAGCUCAGUGAGACCAGAAAUCUCACGUAGAAUAUAAGGGUACAAGCUGGCUUGAUUCUGAAUAACAGUACGAUUGCGAGACAAGAAAUUGUGGCCUAACGAUCCUUUUGAGAAGCGAAACACUAUCAAUGCAUAAUACAAGAGGUGUCAGAAAAGUUACCACAGGGAUAACUGGCUUGUGGCGGCCAAGCGUUCAUAGCGACGCCGCUUUUUGAUCC